CAGAUACUCAAACCUCAGCAAGGAACAAACAGAAUCAGCUCACCAGCUGGUAGUGCUCUUUAUUCCAUCUGUAAACCUCUCAGUUCUAAAUUUUGGUUUCUGCAAGCUUUACACAGCACAUGUUUCUGCAGAAAAUCUUCAAGGAUUGUGAAUACAAAAGUUUGGGCUGGAUUAUCAUGACCAGAAUGUCUUCUGAUUAGGAAGUACCUGAUGGUGGCAAACUUUGAAUCCCUCUCCUUUGGGAUCUGAAGAGAAGGUAAGAACUUCUGGCUGCAUUCCUUUUUCUCAUAGUUUCUGAAGCCCUGUGUUAUGAAAAUGCCUAUAUCUCAUCUGGCCCUGAAAGAUAUAUAUAUAGUGAUUUCUUUGUCAUGUGAAUGAUCAGCAGCUGUCCUUACAGAUUGCAGAGGGGAAGCUGGACAAGGAAAAUGCAACAGAGGGUGUGAACUCGACAGAAUAACUUCUCUGUCAUAUGUCUGGGUCUACAAUGUCAUUGAACUCUUCAGAACAAACUAAUCACUGUAUUUCAGGUCAGAAAUCAAUUUCCAUAGAUUAGGUUUGCAAGACUAAAUACAAAGGUGCAUGGGAACAGCAGAAAUACAUCUCUGUGUAAGAUGUAAUAGAUAUCACCAAGAUACAUCCAACACAGUUGGCUUCUAGCAGGAGAACUAGACCACGGUGGGAGUUUGGACCAGCUGUCUGAGGCCUGAAAUGAUUGUAUCUGAGGGAAGCUGUUGUGCUUCUCAGUCCGCUCUCCAGGUGAGUGUACAGAGGCCAUCAGACAAAAAAUCUUAACAGUUGUUUUUGGCCUCAAAUUCUGCUAAGUGUCUGCCCUACCUAUUCGAGGUUUCAGACUUUUUUUAGGUCUUUCCUGCUUUGCUUGCUGAAGACAAUAGUUGAUCAAUUGUUCAAAGAAUAUUCUACCAAAAAAUAAGCAGAAAUUAGAUUCAGCCUGUUUUCAGAAAUCUGUGUGCUUUGAAAGAAGAGAGACAAGAUAGCAAAAGCAACCAAAACAAAUAUUUUCCUCCUGAAAUCUCUUUCAGCUAAUUUAGUUACAUGUAGUGAUAGUAGAUUAAAAAUUCAGACUGAAGUGUAGCUUUGAAGUAUCUUUCCCAUCUCAAUAUUUUUUCCCCAGCAGUAUCAGAGACUUUGAUUUGGAAUGUACACAACAAAGGUAUAAUCAUUCAAUUCAGAUUAAAGAAAAACAAAAACACAGUUCUUGUUGUGUGAAGCCGGUAGAUUGUCCAGGCUUUUGCAUUUGUAUCAUCCGGAGUUGGUCACCUGGGAUACAAAAUUAUAAAACUCUAAAUCCUGCAACCAAUCACCAUGUCUUUUAAGGGGGUGUUGAUUUCACGUGCAGAAGUGUGUGCACCAGUUUAUAGCAACUAAAAAAAGCUCCUUUCUGUUUGCCAUAAACUGAGCUGAAUCAAGUAACUACAGUAAGAUGGUUGUUUAAAAUGGGUUUCUCCAUGUGUGGCAUCUUGAUCAACAUCUGGUUCUAGUUAACUUCUUUUCUGAUGUUUUUGUUUACAUUGCUGUGUUGAAUUCAUAUUUAAUUUUAAAACAAGACAGAGUAUAAAGCUAGAAGUUCAUCUGAUUUGUACAAAGAAAAAGACCACAAAACAAAUGUUAUUGUCCAGUUUGUGCAUAGAGAAUUAGAUGCUAUCAUAUGAUGGUUUUUGACCUAAAUCUGCUGUUUGUGAUUUUUGCUAGAAAGGUUCACUUAACUAUCCUAUAUAGCCAUGCCUAAGGGUGCAUUGAGGUCAGCUUUCUCUAAGAUCUUUUAUUCACCACCUUGCGCAAAGUAAGUUUUCAUGUACUAUGACUGCAUGCAGCUUUUGUCUGAUAGAAUCGGAAACUAGCAUUUUUUAUGGAAUAAAAUUAAAAUUAAAAUGUAGUGGUUUGUUUGCAAUUAACCAAAAUAUAUUUUUAUAAAAAAAGAAAAAUCACAUUAUAUAUCAUAGUUUAACAUUUUAACAUUUAACAGUUUAGAUUUAAUCUUUUAAAACCUACCAUUAAUACAUAUAUAUAUAUAUUCAUCCAUAUUUCAGCUGGCUAGGUGGGUUAAGCAAACUAAUUUUUACCAUUUGGGCAUUUGUACAAUCACAUCUCACUUCUGUAUCAUUUUUCAUGUGAUUUUUAGUGACCUCAGAAUAACAUUUCAGCUUGUCCAGGCAGCACAUCACUCCUGUCAAUCAAAUGGCUUGACCUUAUCCUAACAAACUACUGGCAAAUAAACUGUGAUUAAACCAACCAUUCCAGAGGACAUCACAAUACAUAUUUUCUGACAGAAUUUAAAAGCACAAAUUUCACAUAUAUGUAUUCACAGAACCAACAAUCUGUAUUUAGCUUUAUUGUAUCUUUUUUCAUUCCCAAACAUGCCCAUUUUCUGACAUGAAUUUCCUGCCACUGCAGACCACAGGUGCAACACAGCACAAUCAGCAAAAUCUCAACAGUGAAAGCAGGUAUUUGGUUUAGCAGCAGCACCAGCAGAACAUUACUUCCUAUUUCUGUGGCUCCUCCCACCAUCUGAACACAGUGAUUUCAUUAAUUCACCCCAGUGUAUCAGAUUGCCAUCAUUUACAUUGACUGACUUUUCCAACACUAGUUCACUUGUCUUGUUUUUUCUCUAUUAUGUCUUUCCUUCUUAGAAUUUGAAUCUCACAAAUUACUUACUAACUUUUAUUUUCAUUAUUGUGAUACUUAUUAACUCUCCCAGACUACUUAUGAAAAUACUUGAUUUAAUUCAAAAUACUUUUUCUGGCUUUAAUUCUCAGAGAUCUGCAGGUCAGCCUCACCUUCAUCCCAAGAAGGUAAUGGAACAACUAGAUCUGGAAACCAAAUCCAGGCACAUGAAGAACAAAAAGAUGAUUAGAAGGAGUCAGCAAGUGUUCACCAAGGUGAAGUCACGCUUGACCAACCUGAUAGCAUUCUAUAAUGAAAAGGCUGGUUUGGUAAACGAGUAGAGAGGAGUAGAAAUUGCCUACCUAGACUUCAGUAAGGCUUUUGACACUGUCUCGCAUAAGAACCUCAUAGAGAAACUGAUAAUGUGUGAGCUGGAUGAGUGGACAGUGAGGUGGAUAAAAAACUGGCUGAAUGGCUGGGCCCAGAGGGUGGUAAUAAGAUACAUAAAGUCUGGUUGGAGGCCAGUGAUGUACCGCAAGGAUCAACUCCAGCUCCAGACCUGUUCAACAUCUUCAUUAAUAAUGUGUGUGAUGUGGUAGAAUGCACCCUCAGUAAGUCUGAAAAUAAAAGUGGGAGAAGAGGCUGACCCCAGAGGGUUGUGCUGCCAUCCAGAGUGACCUGGAAACGUAGGAGAAAUGGGCAGGCGGGAAGCUCAUGAAAUGUAAAGUCCUAGAGUGGGUAGGAACAACCCCAUGCACUAGGACAUGCUGGGGGCCACACAUCUGCAAAGCAUCUUUGCAGGCAAGGACCUAGGAGUCCUGGUAGACACCGAAUCAAACAUGAGCCAGUAAUGUGCCCUUGCUCUAAGGAAGACUAAUGUUAUCCUGGGCUGCAUUAGGCAAAGUAUUACAAGCAGGUUAAAAUACAAUUUCACCUUUGUACAUCAACACUGGCUACUCCCAAUAAAAUUAAAACAUACAUAUAUACAAAUAUACAUAUUUAAAUAAUUAAAUAAAGUGUAUAUGGCAGCCAUUGAAAAACCUGAACAAUAGUUUGUUUGUUUUUCCUCCUCUCCUUAAUUUGGUUUACAUUCUGUAGUCUAAGAAAGAGGAACAAGGAUAACUUCUUCCACACAGCUUCCUAAGUAGGAACCUGAAUGACCUUAAAGAAGGCCAAAAGAACUUCUGCAGUUCCAGCUCUGGGGACAUUAUAUGACAUAUGCCUGAAAGGAAGAAAUAAGAAUUUUUGUCAUUGAGAAUUAAGAAAAGUAUCGAACAACAGAUUCCUUAGGGAAUAUGGAAGCUGACAAUUUUUCAAAAUCUAUUAACUGAAAAGUAAAAAUAUGCAAAUAUAUCAAUAAUCAGAUAUUGAAGCAUUUCAAAUUAACUCUAUGACUCAACAAAUUCAAAUAUGGAUAAGGACAUUAUCUGUUUUCCAUGGAAUAGCUACAUGUCAGUCAAUAACAGAGAUAUACUACAAGGAAAGCAGAAUUUAUUAUUCAUCUGAACUCAAACUAAUUCAACAAUAUAGCUUUCAGGCUUUAAGAUAUAUAUGUCACAAUGUUGGAUACUGGGUCUCCGAGACAUUGAUUAUUAGAUAUGACAUGAGAGUAGAAACUUCCUCAUUUAUGAAAAGAAUUUAAAAUAUAUUCAAAUAUUUUUGCAUGAGGAAUGAAUGGAACCCAACAAUUUAGUUCUACUGACUUCACUGAAAGCAUCAGCAUGAAGAGAACUUUGCAAGGUAUUAAUUAUCUGGGGGAGAUUAUAAACUUGGUAGCCUGGAUCCAUAUUAAACAGCAGACCUUUGAGAUUCAGCAAGAAGAAAGUUCUGGAAGAUAAAUAUCUCCAUUGUCUCCUAUGAAAAAUUUGUCUAUGUCACAGGUACACGUGGUGUCAUUCCCAUCUGUCAGCAAAGGCAUGGCACCACGCCAAAAUAAUAACUGAUCUUGAAUGCUCGGACAGCACAACCAAAUAAACAGCAAAAUAUGCUACAACAGGAGCUCUGAAAAUAUAACCUCCCUUGCAAGAGAGCAGAACAGAGAGCGAAGCUUUCCUCCCUAAGAGACUUUCUCCUUCAGACAUGUUGCAUGAGUCUUAUCCUUGUGUUUGAAGGAACCACGAGAAUGAAGGUUUUCUUAUUCCUUCUCCACAAAAGCAGGGACUCAAACCAAACUGCUGCAACCAUUUCACAAAGCCAAUACAAGGCCCUAGUAUACAUUUCCUCCCUCAUCUCUUCCUUCUUCCAGAUGCAGUAGUUACUUGGAAUUCAGCCUGACUGUGAAUGUGCAGUGCUUGAUAACACUGACAAACCUAUGUUAUAAAGUUGCUAUAGAUGCUUACAACAGAACCAUUUCUAACCUCGGGAAGAAACAUAGGCAGUGUAUUUAACAACAUUAAAAUAAAACUACUGUUCUGGUUGCAAAA